AGCCCCCGCUUGCUGCAAGUAGAGAAAGCCUGGGUGCAGCAAUGAAGACCCAACACAGCCAAAAAUAAAUAAGUAAAUAAAUAAAAAUUUUUUAAAAACCAAACAACAAAGAAAAAAGAAAAAAAAGGUAUUCCCUUCAGUACCUACUUAGCAGGGGAAAAUCAGAAAGUUCCUAAACAAAGGCUCCUGGCAGGCCUCCAAAUGAAGCAGUUCAAACUGACCAGCACCUGGAGCUGCCAGUUAAAGAGUCGCAAAUGCUGGAAAUUUUUGGCUCAGGAGGAGUUUUCCCAGGCUGAGAUCAAGCCUGACAAUUUUAACUUUCCACUUCAGACUGAAUCCACUUUGGAAUCUACCUGGCUGUUUCUCACACCACUCAGGUGCCUUGUACCUGUGAUUUCAGGAAUAGAGCUUAAAACCCAGAGAGGGAGGCUGAGAUUUCUCUGUAACUGGAGUCAUAGAAGGCCCUAAGAUUUCUAGAGCUGGAAGGACUUCAAAGAUUAUUUAUAACAAAACCUCUAUGUUUUACAAAUACAGGAACUAAGAUGCAGAGAGAGGAAGGGUCUUGCCCAAGGACACACAGUAAAGUAACAGCAGAGCUAUUAACAGUUAAAAGAUGAGGAAACAGUCCCAGAGAGGUAAAGAACUUGCCUGCACUGAAGUCUGUGUUCUCCACUACUUCAAUCUACCGCCUCCAAGGAUGAUGUUGUAGCUUGAUGUAGCCUGUGGCUUGAAAUAUGGUGGGAAUAUUCAUGUCACAGAAAUCAGCAAAUACUACGAAUCAGCUUGUUUUGUUGAUUGUCACAGUUUAAGAAAGUGAUGAAGGACUUCCCUGGUGAUGCAGUGGUUAAAAAUCCACCUGCCAAUGCAGGGGACAUGGGUUUGAUCCCUGGUCCGGGAAGAUCCCACAUGCCACAGAGCAACUAAGCCCAUGAGCCACAACUCCUGAGCCCGCGUGCUGCGACUACUGAAACCUGCAUGCCUACAGCCCAUGCUCCACGACAAGAGAAGCCACCGCAAUGAGAAGCCCGCGCAGCACAAUGAAAGAGUAGCCACAAGAGUAGCCCCCACUCGCCACAACUAGAGAAAGCCCACACGCAGCAAUGAAGACCCAAGGCAGACAAAAAAAGUAAAAUAAAAUAAAAAUAAAUAAAUGAAAUAAAAUAAAAUUAUUAACUAAAAAAGAGAAAGUGAUGAAGAUGCUGAAGCACGGGGAGAUGCAGGGACCCCCAUGAGAGAGAUGGGAGGAUCAGUCUCAACGAGUUUCCAAUAUGGAUCCCAUUCUCUCUCAUGUGUAACCUUUAAAAUAAACUCCUUUUUU